GGGGGCGUGUGCCAGAAAAUAUUUUACAUGCAGAAUAUGAUAAGGAUAAGCUAAGCUAUUACAGUAAUAUAUACAUUUUAAAGAUAUAACAAAUGUUUUGAGCUAUUUACAGGUAAGUUAUAUUUACAAAGGUUACCAAGCACUAAUGUGCAUGAGCAGCGAUUUUAUUUCGAAAGGAAGACAGUGACUUGCUUUCCCUAAUUUCUUUUGGUAUAGAUUUGCAAAUGUUUGUUCCGUCGUACAAAACUAUUUUUCAUGCUAUUUGUACGUGGUUUUGGUAAAUAAAGACCACUUGAGACAUCCCGAAGGUGGUAAUUAGUUUUCUCACUCUUAAACGAAAAUAGAUUUGUUAGUGAUUUUGGACCCAUUUUGUUUAAUAACUUAUACAUCAUUCUUGCUUUAGUUUUCUUCCUUUCAGUUUGGAGUGGAGUAACGCAAUCGUAUAAUCUACGUCAUUGCUUAUAUUCAGAAUAAUUCUUGCCGCUCUAUUUUGCAGUUUUUGCAGUCGUUUUGAUUUAUUUCGCCGAAUACAUCCCAUACUUCACAGCAGUAGUCAAAGUACGGACGAACAAUAGUGUUAUACUAUCAAAAUAAGUGUAUCUUGAUCAUUAACAAAUGGUUUGAUCCGACGAAUAGCAGAGAUUCCUGCUGUAACUUUUUUGCAGAUAUUUUCGGUAUUACUUUUCCAAGAUAAAUGCUUGUCAAUUGUUACUCCUAGAGUUUUGCAUUCAUGAACUUGUUUAAUUUGUAUAUUUUCAAUGUAAACAUUUGGGCAAGAAUCAGAAAUAUUUUUGAUCAUAGGUUUAGAGCCAAUCAGCAUAAACUCUGUCUUAGCU